AUUGAACGCUGGCGGCAUGCCUUACACAUGCAAGUCGAACGGCAGCACGGGUGCUUGCACCUGGUGGCGAGUGGCGAACGGGUGAGUAAAGCAUCGGAACGUACCUAGAAGUGGGGGAUAACGUAGCGAAAGUUACGCUAAUACCGCAUAUUCUCUGAGGAGGAAAGCAGGGGAUCGCAAGACCUUGCGCUUUUGGAGCGGCCGAUGUCGGAUUAGCUAGUUGGUGGGGUAAAGGCCCACCAAGGCGACGAUCCGUAGCUGGUCUGAGAGGAUGAUCAGCCACACUGGGACUGAGACACGGCCCAGACUCCUACGGGAGGCAGCAGUGGGGAAUUUUGGACAAUGGGCGAAAGCCUGAUCCAGCCAUGCCGCGUGAGUGAAGAAGGCCU
rnacentral:rRNA from 1 species